CCCCCUUACACACACACACUCUCUCUUUCUCAUUCUCCUUUCCCUCCUCUCCAUCUCCCUAUUGCAUUGUGUCUGACUGAUUUUCAGAGCACCUUCGCUGUUUCCCCCUUCUCGUUCCCUUCUCAUAAAAUAUCUAGACAGGAAGGAGGUGGCUGCAGAGGCUGAACAAUCUCAUAUUCUGCCUGCAAUGUCAUCGUUUCUUUCCCCCAUUUUAGGGGGCUGAAGUUGCCCAGCAAGGGAUGCAGAGGAGCUGGAAAAGAAGGGGGGAGCUCUCCAGAGGCAGCUGCGGUCAGGGGCAGGGACUGCCGCCAGAUGUGCCUGCCUUUCUGGGCUUUGAUGAGAAAGGGGCAGCAGGAGGAAAUAUUGGGAGACAAAAGCCCCGGUUUAAAUGAUCAUUUUCUUUAUUUAACAUGGCAGCAGACACUCUCUGCGUAGGAUCAUCAUGCCGAGCAUAAACUGGACUUUCCCACUUGCCUGGCAGGAGUCACACAGAUCCCUGCGUGCUAAAUGAACAUCUGAGACCCUUGAAUCCUGACUAUUGGAGAAACAGCACCAUAUUUUGGAUACUGAUUCAGACCAUAUACAGCCUUCUGGAGAAUCUUGCCCCAGUCCUGAAAGGUUUUGGUAUCAGGAUGAUGCUGGCAUCAUAAAAUGAGUAUUUUUCUUCAGACUUCAGACUGCUGUGCUGGAAGCAAGAAUUUCAAGCAUUGGAUCUUAGCUUGCUGGGCUCCAUAGGGGUGGGAUCCACUGAGCUAGACCACUUGGCUCCCUGGCUUCAGCCCCCUUCCAGAUGUCCUUGGCGUGUACACCCUGUGGAAUCUGGUUCAUCUUCAAUCUGUCAGAAGGCAUCAGAGGUGGUUUUGACUCCUUAUGUCUUGGACCUGUGCACAAAAAGUGUAAAAUGGAUGGAACAUCAGACAGCUCAUUAUAGAGACAAGUAAGCUCCAGUUCCAAAGUUGGUUGACAGAACAAGUCAUGACCUUGUGUGGAGGAAAAUGAGAUCCCGAGUGAAGUCUACAAUGUCAUUGACUCUGAAGAAGGACUCAGAGACCCAUUGGUGUUUAAUGACCCUUACUGGCCUAUGCAAUGGAAACUGAUCUUGAGUGUGCCUUAAAAUUCCAUUUCAUGGAGAACUGUGCGUGGUUGAAUUUUGAUUGAUUACUCAAUUAACUGAUGUAUUGGUAGAGUGAUUAAGAAAGAAGACUUUGGGAUCAGACCAACCUGGUUUUGAAUUCAAGCUCAGCAACUUACUAGGUAAGGAGGAGAAAAGAAAGAAGGAAAAAUUGGAAAGAUAAAUGGGGUCUUUCCAGUGAAGGCUCAAUUUUCCUACAUAAUUAAGAGUUUGGAAUUCGGGCAAUAUCAAGAACCACAUCUGUCCUGAAAUCAAUUAUCUCUGUUUGAAACACAAGAAAUAAGAAGACCAUUUUGAGAAGAACAGAGAGUAGCCUUAAGAAAAUCCCUGUCGCAAGCACUCUGGGAUUUGGACUCAAAUGCUAAUUAUACAGAACCACUUGGGUGCCCAGCUGCUGUCCAUUCUCUACACUUAUCCCACCUGAUGGAAGGCUGUUAAGAAAAACAUCACUGCAAUGCCUAAUAAACAGACAUGGGUCCCAGACCCAAUAAGAGUGAAACCAUCCCCCUAUUUAAAUGAAAUUAUGGCUGAUGAGAAAGACAAAUUAAUUUCUCUGUCCCUAGUAUUACACAAAACUUUGGAUGCUGCCAUUGUUACAAUUUUAUUUUCCCCAGGAGCUCAGAGUCCCACCUUCAUUCUUUUUGUUUAAUGCUUAAGCUUGCCUGUCCACCUAUGGAAGACUAGAAUGAGCAAAGACCAUGUAUUCAAUGAUCUGUAAAUCUAACAGGAAACAAUAUAAUAAAUAUAUUGUGUUUGCUAACCAAA
rnacentral:lncRNA from 1 species